rnacentral:rRNA from 1 species
AUUGAACGCUGGCGGCAGGCCUAACACAUGCAAGUCGAGCGGUAGAGAGAAGCUUGCUUCUCUUGAGAGCGGCGGACGGGUGAGUAAUGCCUAGGAAUCUGCCUGGUAGUGGGGGAUAACGUUCGGAAACGGACGCUAAUACCGCAUACGUCCUACGGGAGAAAGCAGGGGACCUUCGGGCCUUGCGCUAUCAGAUGAGCCUAGGUCGGAUUAGCUAGUUGGUGAGGUAAUGGCUCACCAAGGCGACGAUCCGUAACUGGUCUGAGAGGAUGAUCAGUCACACUGGAACUGAGACACGGUCCAGACUCCUACGGGAGGCAGCAGUGGGGAAUAUUGGACAAUGGGCGAAAGCCUGAUCCAGCCAUGCCGCGUGUGUGAAGAAGGUCUUCGGAUUGUAAAGCACUUUAAGUUGGGAGGAAGGGCAUUAACCUAAUACGUUAGUGUUUUGACGUUACCGACAGAAUAAGCACCGGCUAACUCUGUGU